UCAGGGAGUUACUGGAACUCUGGCCGGGCUCCACAGGUUUUGAGGAAGAGCCUUUCUUGGACUUUCAUUCAAACUUUAGCACGAUCUCUCUCGAAAGUAGCAACAGGGAGAUGAAAAAUGCCAGAGCUCCUCUGGACACAAUGGUAUAAACCAGCACUUAGUCCUUACCCCACCCUGCAGGAGGGUCAGGACAAAACCCCAGGGAGAUCUCCUCUCCUGAAGCACACAGAGCCUCGUUUUAUUUGUCAUAGCUUUUCCCCCUACCCUGGGUUGACCUCUGAUGAAGUUGUUUCUGAAACAGGAGGCAGAGCAACCUUGAAGUCCCUCUACAGAGGUGUUUUCACUCCUGUGAGCCACGUUAGGACCAUUCACAGGCACCUCACUUUCUCUCCAGCUGCAAUCCCACAAAGGUGGAUGAGAAUUGCAGAAAAGCUGCCGCUGACUUCUCUUUUUUGAUUCUGUGUAUGACUGGCUUGCUUUUGCUGCCAACCUCUGAUUCUGCUGCGAUUUUCAAGGACUAGAAACAUUUCCUUUUGUUCUCCCUGGGCCGGCACGUCAGUCCUUGAACAAUGGGGGAUAACUGCAGCCCAGGAGGUUGGAAACAGCUGAAUGCAGAGACCCCUUGUGUGUUGAUGUUCCUCGUUAGUGAACCUUGAUUGACCAGGGCAAUUCUAGGAGGCUCAAAAAGUGCCAGGUUGGUGCCUGUCUUCAGGAAAGGAGGCUGCAUGAAAUGGAGGAAAUGUGGAUUUAAUAACACCAGGUCUAUGGAUAAUGUCCUGGAUAAAUACCAAAAAAGGGUGUUAUGUCACUCAUUAAAGAAUUAGUAAUGCAAGUCAGAGGUCCAAUAGAAAUCUCAUUUCAUGCUUUUAAAAAGACAACAAAUAAUUCAAUUUCCUCCAAAAGGAAGGAAAGCUGUAAUAAACUUUUAUAAGCACUUUUACUUAGAACUGCACAAUAUUUUAAUUAAACAGGGUAAUAAAGCAUCAGUGAAGAAUACAUUAAA